GUAAUUUAAGCAUAUUAAUAAGCGGAGGAAAAGAAACUAACCAGGAUUCCCUCAGUAGCUGCGAGCGAACAGGGAAGAGCCCAGCACCGAAUCCUGCCCGCCUCGCGCGGGUCUGGAAAUGUGGUGUUUGGGAGGGCCCGUACAUCUCGCCCGGCCGUGUCAGUCCAAGUCCAUCUUGAAAGUGGCCACAGCCCGCAGAGGGUGCCAGGCCCGUAGGACGACGCGCCGACCCGCCGGGCGAAAGGGUCUAGAGUUCAAGAGUACGUGAAACCGUUCAGGGGUAAACGGACGAAAUCUGGAAAAUCGAAGGGAGUGAUUCACGCCCGUCCGCCGUCACGUGUGUCGCGGCGACCGUCGAUGGCGCGCACCCGGUCCCGUCCCGCCCGCAAGGGUGGGCUCGGGUCGCCGGGUCCGUCACGCGCGCGUCGUCUUGCGACCUCGGGCGCGGGCUGCACUUCACUCCUUGUAGUACGUCGCGACCCGUUGGGCGUGCGUCCAGGGCCCGUGCGUGGAGCCGACGGACGUGCGCGCGCGCCGCCGUCCGACGACCGCUGCGGUGACCCGACGCACCCGCCCGACGGUAUCGAUGCAGACGAACGUGGCGGAAAGAACCGGCGCCCCGGCGCUGGCGGCUCCCCCCGGGGGGCACGCCUCGUGUCAGCGACGCUCCAUUCAGAGCAUCAUCCGACCCGUCUUGAAACACGGACCAAGGAGUCUAGCAUGUGCGCAAGUCAUUGGGACCGCAACUAAACCUAAAGGCGUAAUGAAAGUGAAGGCCGCGGCGCAAGCCCGUGCCCACGAAGAGGGGAGAUGCUCGCGGUCCUUGUAGCGACGCGGGUCGCAUCCCCGGGACGUCUCGUUGUCAUCGCGACACAGUAGGCGUACCCAGAGCGUACACGUUGGGACCCGAAAGAUGGUGAACUAUGCCUGGUCAGGUCGAAGUCAGGCUGGCGUUAGAGUAUGCGUCGUGUCCGGACCCCGGUCCGGGCACCGACCAGUCUCAUCUGNNNNNNNNNNNNNNNNNNNNNNNNNNNNNNNNNNNNNNNNNNNNNNNNNNGGAAUCCGUUUCCUAUUACGGAACCCGGCAGCGGAACCGACCAUGCGGGCCACUGUCGGACGCCCGCCGAGGCGGCGUCGCCGGCGGCGUUAAAAACCGUCGCGCGGCGUCGUCGACCGCGCGGUGUCGUCCGGCAACUCGUCGGGGUAACCCAAAAGGACCCGGAGACGCCGUCGGAUGAUCGAGGCAGAGUUUUCUGUUCUGUAUGAGCGUUCGAGUUCCCUGGAAUCGCCUAGCGCGGAGAUAGGGUUUGGAACGCGAAGAGCACCGCACUUGCGGCGGUGUCUCGAUCUAUCCCUCGGACCUUGAAAAUCCGGGAGAGGGCCACGUGGAGGUGUCGCGCCGGUUCGUACCCAUAUCCGCAGCAGGUCUCCAAGGUGAGCAGCCUCUAGUCGAUAGAA
rnacentral:rRNA from 1 species